ACCUUAAAUGAUGAUACAGCUACUGACCCACAUACUCACAGUGAUAACGACAACGAUGAUACUUUCAAGGCAGCGGCUCCUGAGAGUAAUCAAGUAAUGAGAAUCAAGUGAAAAAGAAAGUUAGGAAAAACACCUAGGUUGUAAAGGAAAAUCCGAAGACAGUAAAGAAGACUAUUAACAAGAA